rnacentral:piRNA from 1 species
UUUGUUAGACUGGUGACUGCU